AGAAACCAACAGGGAUUGCCCUAGUAACGGCGAGUGAAGCGGCAAUAGCUCAAAUUUGAAAGCUGGCCUUCGGGUCCGCAUUGUAAUUUGUAGAGGAUGCUUUGGGGCAGCCGCCUGUCUAAGUUCCUUGGAACAGGACGUCAUAGAGGGUGAGAAUCCCGUAUGUGACAGGACAUGGCACCCUAUGUAAAGCUCCUUCGACGAGUCGAGUUGUUUGGGAAUGCAGCUCUAAAUGGGAGGUAAAUUUCUUCUAAAGCUAAAUACUGGCGAGAGACCGAUAGCGCACAAGUAGAGUGAUCGAAAGAUGAAAAGCACUUUGGAAAGAGAGUUAAAAAGCACGUGAAAUUGUUGAAAGGGAAGCGCUUGCAAUCAGACUUGUUCUGACUGUUCGGCCGGUCUUCUGACCGGUUUAUUCAGUCUGGGCAGGCCAGCAUCAGUUUCGGCGGUCGGAUAAAGGCCUUGGGAAUGUGGCUCUGCCUUCGGGUAGAGUGUUAUAGCCCAGGGUGUAAUACGGCCAGCCGGGACUGAGGUCCGCGCUUCGGCUAGGAUGCUGGCGUAAUGGUUGUAAGCGACCCGUCUUGAAACACGGACCAAGGAGUC
rnacentral:rRNA from 1 species